UGGAAAGAUGCUUCUCUUCCUCAAGGUAUGC
rnacentral:piRNA from 1 species